rnacentral:rRNA from 1 species
CUGCUGCCUUCCGUAGGAGUCUGGUCCGUGUCUCAGUACCAGUGUGGGGGACCUUCCUCUCAGAACCCCUACGCAUCGUCGCCUCGGUGGGCCGUUACCCCGCCGACUAGCUAAUGCGCCGCAUGCCCAUCCCCCGCCGGAAUCGCUUCCUUUGGCCGCAGACCCAUGCAGGUCCGCGGCGUUACGCGGUAUUAGUCGGGAUUUCUCCCGGUUAUCCCCCUGCGGGGGGUCAGGUCGCAUACGUUGUUACUCCACCCGUGCGCCGGUCGCCGGCG